AUUUCUACGGGCGCUUGGCGGCCUCCAUCGCCCCCGAGAUCUUCGGCCACGAGGACGUGAAGAAAUCGCUGCUGCUGCUGCUGGUGGGGGGCGUGGAGCAGAACCCGCGCGGGAUGCGCAUCCGGGGGAACAUCAACAUUUGUCUGAUGGGGGAUCCGGGCGUGGCCAAAUCCCAACUGCUCUGCUACAUCGACCGCCUGGCGCCCCGCAGCCAGUACACGACGGGCCGCGGCUCCUCGGGCGCCGGCCUGACGGCGGCCGUGCGGC